AGAUUGAACGCUGGCGGCAUGCCUAACACAUGCAAGUCGAACGGCAGCGCGGGUAGCAAUACCUGGCGGCGAGUGGCGGACGGGUGAGGAAUACAUAGGAAUCUACCCUGUCGUGGGGGAUAACGUAGGGAAACUUACGCUAAUACCGCAUACGACCGAGAGGUGAAAGCGGCGGACCGCAAGGCGUCGCGCGACUGGAUGAGCCUAUGUCCGAUUAGCUAGUUGGCGGGGUAAUGGCCCACCAAGGCGACGAUCGGUAGCUGGUCUGAGGGGAUGAUCAGCCACACUGGAACUGAGACACGGUCCAGACUCCUACGGGAGCAGCAGUGGGAA
rnacentral:rRNA from 1 species